UUGUACACACUGCCCGUCGCUACUACCGAUUGAAUGGCUCAGUGAGGCCUUCGGACUGGCCCAGGGAGGGCGGCAACGCCAACCCAGGGCCGGAAAGUUGGUCAAACUCGGUCAUUUAGAGG
rnacentral:rRNA from 1 species